CGUAUUUUGGUAGUCGGUAGACUUUUUUUUAACCCCCUUUUUUCAAUGUCAUCAUUUGAACACGUCAAGUAAGUCUUAGAUAUUACAAAAUUUUAUUUAUAUGUCUCACUUUUUUAUCUUUUUUUUUUAUACACUUAUCUCAAAAUUAUUCUUUCAUUCUUCCUUUUAUUUUCUCCCUUUACUGACAUUAUGGCUAUCAUGAUUCGGAUCAGGGGUAUUUUAUUGUGGUGCACCAGUUUUGGCCAAAGAACUGAGCAAGCUCUGCUUCGAGUUCAAUGAAAAGGGUCCAACAAAAUUUGAGUUCCACAAGGAGCACUUUUAAAGAAUUUGGGCUGAGCACUCCCAAAUGUACUAAAAGUUAACAGGGUCAUCUCAACUUAAACCCGUCAUUUUAGUAACUUGGCGUGGUCAUAUUAUAUGAUUAAUAUUCAACAAGUAAAACCUUUUUGUAUAGAUGUGAAGCAUUGUACAUAGAGCCAGCAAGAUUGCUUGGCAUUUCAGUAUACAUGUGGCCUCAUAACUAAAGAGAUAAGCGCAGUGGUACUGUCCACCACCUAGAGUGCGAUACAACUACAUUGGAGAUGCUGACCUGAUCGUGGGAGCCACAUCAACUGUUGGCAGAUAGAUCCACAGUGAAUUGGAUAUGGACAUUUUUGAAAAAGAUAAUAGAAGGUAAAGGGACUAAAGAAUGUGGCUGGGAUACCUUUUCAAGAGCAACUUUCUCAUUUUUCCUUCCAGGGGAUUCCAGGAAUUCUUGAGAACUCAGAGUGAGGCAAAUGAAUCACCUCUACUUCUGCUUGGGUUCUAACGGGGAGAAGGGGAUUAUACAUAUCUAUGUAAAUGAAACCGGUAUAGUGUUUUCCUUUUUCAAAGUGAUCAAUAGUUUUAACCUUUAUUUAUUUAUUUGAUUAUAUACAUGAAGUAAAACUAUUGGUUUGUGAACACGACUUAAACUAUUGAGCCACGAUGAUAUUUUCUGGUGCUCAUUUAGUCAAUGCAUAUUAAAAUUAUCUGCGCAGAGUUUACGAACCAGAUCAGGAGUAUAUUAAUAUCAAAUUCUUCAGUAAGGUUCCAUUUGGGUCAUGUUUUCGGCAAAGACUUUGAAUAUGAUUUAAACACGUCCUCAAUAAAUGCUACUCGAAUCCUCGUUUGGAUGCAAAGGAUGUGCGUGAAAUAAACUCAAGAUGCUUAAUCUCUUCUGCAUAAUGGAGAAGGGGUUUGUUCAAUGUCAGCUGUAAUGAAAUUGUAAAUACACAACUGUAUGCGCCAUUUGAAAUAUACAAAAUUUUACAUUACAAAUUACUAUUUUUUCUCUUGGUUGUUGAUUUUCUGACCUGCAUGUCAGAAUUUAUGAAAAUAAGAAAAAAAAUAUUAAACACGUUACUAAAGUUCUUUGUGAUAUUAUUAAUCUUAUUAUAUAUUGUGGAGCAAUUUAGAGCAGAUGGCUCGGCGCAUAGAGAGGAUCUAGAGUAUGAAUACAUUUUUAUUUAGAUCAAACAUCCGUAUGAUACACUAAAUGCACAACUGAUAAAAGUACGUCUUGUGUAAAAUGCAAGCCCAAAGGGCUCAAAGGGUUGAGUUCCACCGUUUUUGUGAAAUGGAAGAAGGAUUUAUGAUAUCUCUUUGACCGAUUCACCGUGUAAGGGAAACGAUAUGGAUAAAAUGGUGGGGACUAUCAACAUUAGAAUCAUGUGGGAUAAGUUUGAUGACUUGAAUAUUAAUUAACUUCCCCAUCAAAGAGUUAAAAUUAUUUUCCAAAAGAAAAGCUGGGUCUUCAUGACCAAAUCAAAACAUAUUUAAUUGCCACAUUUCUCAACGGCGAAAAUCGAAAAGGUAGUGGAAUGAAACUGGCCUAAUUUUUUAGUUUGUUACAACGCAUUUGCUGAUCCAAUACUCUGCACUGCUGCAUUUCAUAUUCCUUCAGGCCGGAUGUGUCUUUUCCCUCACUCCUAUUUCUAGAAUCCUUCAAAGUCACUACUCUUGAAUCAUCAUCUCAAUUUUUUAGUCCAUAAAUCAAGUACAUUUAUCAUUCUUUGCCUUUAAUUUAAGUAACUUCCCAUUUAGUCAUCGGUCAAGCCGUGCAAAUACUGGAAACGCGUUCAGGAAAACAUCAACCCAUAAUUCCUUAAUUCUCAAUACCUCAAGGUCAAGACAAAUAACCUUUUUUUCUUCUUUUUACCGUUUCUGAUCAAUACAAGAUUUUCAACCAAAAACUUCAAAUUAAUUGCACAAAAAUACUAAUAUUUAUUCAUGUGGUCACUCUCUUAUCAUAUGUGUGGAGAUCGAAAACCACCAACAUCUCAUCAUAUAUAUAUAUGUAUACCUGAACAACAAGAUUUUAUUAGUAUUCAAGACAAAACAAAAAAUGUUAUAUUUAAUAACUAAAUUUAUCAUGUCAAUUACAUCGCAGGUGCAGGAGACAGAGUUGUCGCUAUCAACGUGGAAUCAACCAUUUGAAGACAUUUCAUAUUGGAAAUUGAUCUAAGUACCCACCACCCAUUUGCUAGUAAGCCAUAAUGUAUAGUUUCAAGAAGACCAUCUCAUACUAAGUUAAAUUCCCAGUACCAUCACAAAUCAGCAUGGCUCAGCAGAGUCCUGAUCAGCAGAUCAAGCCCUUGGCUCCAUUCAUAUCAUCAUCCCACUUCAACUCACAAGAAGAUCAAGACUACGCAUCCACACACAGAAAAAACAUUCGAAUAAGAAAGUUUAUCCAGUGCUGCGGUUGUGCCACUGCAAUUGCUGUGCUACUUGUGGUCAUAGUACUGGUCUUGGGCUUCACCGUUUACAAUGUCAAAGACCCCCAGGUGAGGAUGAACGGGGCUACCCUUAUCAGUGGAACUUUCGCCAACGGUGCUACUGACAACGUUACGAUUCUUGCUGAUAUAUCUGUGAAGAAUCCAAACGCUUUUACCUUCAGAUUUGAAAACGCCUGGACCGAUGUUUACUAUAACGGAGAGGAAAUAGGUGAUGGUGAAUCUCCACCGGGGAAAGCCAAGCCCAGAAGAACCAUAAGGGUCAACACCACCAUGGAGAUUAUGGCAAAGAAGCUUCUGGCGAUUCCAAAUUUGGAUACUGACCUAAAGGAUCAGGCUUUGAAUAUCAGCAGCUAUACCAGGAUUGAUGGUAAGGUCAAAAUACUAAACAUUUUUCCGAGGAAAGUUGUGGUUGAGAUGAAUUGCACAAUCACAUACAACAUCACCACUGGGUCGAUUAAAAAUGGUGACAAUUGUCUUGGAAACGUUGAUAUUUAGGUUGGUUUUGAUGUUAAUUCUUUGUGAAAUUUGUUAGGAUGAUGAUAGAAGUGGAAAAUAGCUAGUGUUUGUAGGUUGCUCAAUUUUCUGCAGUUUAAUUGUAUCUGAUUAUGGAUAUAUGAUUUGAGUUAAUCCUAUNUAAACCCUAGACCACUUACACGCACUGAUUCUUGAGUAAUUUUUUGGAAAAAAAAACUUGUCACCUUUAAAAAUAUACUAAUUUUUUAGACGAAAUAGAAAAAAAGAUUAAUAUAUAUAUAUAUAUAUAUAUAUAUAUAUAUAUAUAUAUAUAUAAAUAUAAGAUAACUGUGAUUUCAAGUUUAUAUUUUGAUGGAAAUAUCACAUUUGUUCCUUUUUUAUCUAUUUGUAAGAUUUUUUUGGUACAUUCUAUUGUAAGUUUAGAACAUGUAUGUGAUAACUAGUGUAAAAUUAAUGGUUACCCUCCUAGGUAUAAAGGGAAAACAAUUGACAAUUAUCAUAAAAAAUAAGUUAAAGAAUGCAUAUAAAAAGUAAAUAUUUUAAAUAUGUUUUAAUUUUAUUUAUUGCAUUUAUUUUAAAUGUAAUUUUCUUUUAUAAUUUUAAAUUAAAAAUGACUUUUUCGUUUUAAUGGUAUUUCAAUUUUGUUUAUUUUAAAUUCUUUAUAACUGACGAACAUAUUUUAUUAAUAAGCACAACACUAAAUUGGGCGAGUAGCAUAAAUUUUCUUAAAUCAAUAAAUGCAUAUAUUUUUAUAAUUUAAUACGGAAAUGAUAUUAAAGCUUAUAUUGGCUUAACGAAUGAGAGUGAAAUUAUCUUAAAAAUUUAACGAUUGUACAUAAAAAGUUAAAGUGCAGAAAAAAAAAAAAAUCUGUUAGAAAUAAAAAUAUAUCAGAAACAUAAUAAAUUUAUGUUCGCUGAUAGUUCGGUACAUGAUUUCCAGUUUUACUUAUUGAUGCUUAUAUGAUUUCCAGUUUUACUUUCUGAUUCUUACAGACAAUUGCUGGGGCCAUUGUGAUUGGUAUUAUACUUCAUGCCGGAGAUCACCUUGCUUGUGAUUUUCCAAGACUUGUAAGUACGUCUGAAGACAAUUAUGAGAAGUAUUUGAAAGGUGUAUUUGGUGAUAAUAAACCCAGUUACGGAGACCUGGCUAAAGGCGUCGAGGGUGUGACUGGAAUUUUGAUGGUGAUUCUUAUGAUAAUAGCAUUUACACUUGCAACCAAAUGGUUCCGGAGAAAUCUCAUUAAGCUGCCUAAACCAUUUAGUAGGCUCACUGGCUUCAAUGCCUUCUGGUAUUCACAUCAUCUGUUUGUCAUCGUAUACGUCCUUCUUAUAAUCCACGGAACAAAACUUUACCUCGUGCAUAAAUGGUACCUUAAAACGGUAUACAUAUUUCAAUUAUUUAGGAUAUCUUUCAAAUGCUUUGUUUACCUGUAAUUAGUGACUUACGUUCUGGUUUCCGUUUGCAGACAUGGAUGUAUCUUGCGGUUCCAGUUUUACUUUAUACGUCCGAAAGAAUACUCAGACUAUUUCGUUCUGGCCUGUAUACAGUUCGUCUUGGAAAGGUUAGCUGAUUAAGUGGACCAAUAGUUAGGCUCUAAAUUUUCGACUUCAUAACAAACAUGGUUUUAUUACUUGUCUCAACUACUAUUAAGUGCAAUUGGCCUGGGCUAAUUGUGAGCAUCCAGACUCUAGAGUCAUAAAAAGUAAACUAAAAACUGCCAGGAACUUCCAUAUCUAAAAAACUACUCUAACUCUAUAACUUCAUAUAAAUUAGUGCCAAAUAUAAAUUGAACAGCAUGCUAACUUCGUUUUCUCCCUUUUUCUUUUUCUUUUUUAAAAAAUGGAAAAUAUUCAGGUUGCCAUAUAUCCUGGAAAUGUUCUCACAUUGCAAAUGUCUAAGCCUCCUCAAUUUCGUUACAAGAGCGGACAAUACAUGUUUGUGCAGUGUCCUGCUGUUUCUCCGUUUGAAUGGUGAGUUGCAUUUCAAUUUUAAACAAAAAUAUGUUUCAUGUAGCGGUUUUACGAUUUACAUUAUGCUUCAUAAUUGAGACACUGUGUACUGUUUUGAACAAAGAAAUAUGGAAAACGAUACGAAGUUUGGAAAAUGAACUUUCCUCUGCAUUUUUACUAUUCAUAAAACAGAGAUCGAACCGGUAGUACUUUUGCCCCUGAUGAUCAGACAUAUUGAAUAAGAAAAGAAGGGAAAGUAAACUGAUAUUGCAGUUUAUGAGCUGUUAGAAGUCUCGAUUUUGUUUCAGAGUGAAACUUGUGAAAUUUUUACUCAACAAGUAUCGGUAUCUAACAGUAACAUGGGACAAUAUUUUGUGUCAGGCAUCCGUUCUCUAUUACCUCAGCCCCUGGCGACGACUACCUGAGUGUUCAUAUUCGGCAACUGGGUGAUUGGACACAGGAGCUUAAAAGGGUGUUCUCUGAGGCCUGUGAGCCUCCUGUAUCUGGGAAGAGUGGGCUUCUCAGGGCUGAUGAAACCACGAAGAAAAGGUAUAUGUGGCACUUGCCAUUUUCUGUUGUUGCUUUCUUAUCUUUGGUCCUGGGAAAGUAGGGGAAAAUAAUUUAUACAUGAUUCCAAGCCAAAACUUGUUAACCAUUGAUGCAGUUUGCCGAAGUUAAAGAUCGAUGGACCUUACGGUGCACCGGCACAAGAUUAUAAAAAAUAUGAUGUUUUGUUACUAGUCGGUCUCGGGAUAGGAGCAACACCUUUCAUCAGCAUUCUAAAAGAUCUUCUCAACAACAUCAUCAAAAUGGAGGAAAUGGCGGUGAGUUCCAGCGGUUCAUUGUAUUAGUUAAUGAACAUUAAGACAGUAAAGUAGUUAAUAUUCAUGUUAUUCAUAGCUUAACUCUGGCGUGUUAUGUGUCGCAUACAAAUUGUCAUGCUCAUGAAUAUUAUUUGAACAUCUGUAUGCAAAUUUAGUACCACGAAAUAUAACUAUCUGGGUUACUUUUAUUCAGGAUUCAAUCUCUGAUAUAAGUAGAGGUUCAGACCUUAGUGUUGGGAGUACUACAGACUCACCAUCUCUUAAUAAAAUUGCGCCAAAACGGAAGAAAACACUUAAGACCACCAACGCUUAUUUUUACUGGGUUACAAGAGAGCAAGGUUCUUUUGAUUGGUUCAAAGGAGUCAUGAAUGAAGUAGCAGAGCUUGAUCAAAGGGUAUUUAGUUUCUGCAGAAAAUUUAUUUCUUAUUAUACUUCCUCCCGAAGAACUUUUAGUAUUCCUUGUCCCUGCCACAAAGAUGAAUAAUGUUUUUUUCGCAAUGGCUAAUGUUGAACAUCAAAUUUGGACUUCAGGGUGUCAUUGAGAUGCACAACUACUUGACCAGCGUAUACGAGGAAGGGGAUGCUAGAUCUGCCCUCAUCACCAUGGUACAAGCACUCAACCAUGCCAAAAACGGAGUUGACAUUGUUUCUGGGACCAGAGUAAGCCUUCGCGUUUCAUUGUUUUUAUGUAUUAUUCGCUAUGUUUAGCAUUUAGCCCCUUUUUAAUGCCAUAAUCGGAGUGAGUAAAUUUAAAACCUCGCUUACUUCUUUGAAUUCCUACUACCAGGUGCGAACUCAUUUUGCUAGGCCCAACUGGAAGAAGGUUUUCAAUAAAAUGUGCUCCAAGCACUAUAAUGGAAGAAUAGGUUAGUUAGUCUCAAUCAAGCGUAUUUUGGUAGUCGGUAGACUUUUUUUUAACCCCCUUUUUUCAAUGUCAUCAUUUGAACACGUCAAGUAAGUCUUAGAUAUUACAAAAUUUUAUUUAUAUGUCUCACUUUUUUAUCUUUUUUUUUUAUACACUUAUCUCAAAAUUAUUCUUUCAUUCUUCCUUUUAUUUUCUCCCUUUACUGACAUUAUGGCUAUCAUGAUUCGGAUCAGGGGUAUUUUAUUGUGGUGCACCAGUUUUGGCCAAAGAACUGAGCAAGCUCUGCUUCGAGUUCAAUGAAAAGGGUCCAACAAAAUUUGAGUUCCACAAGGAGCACUUUUAAAGAAUUUGGGCUGAGCACUCCCAAAUGUACUAAAAGUUAACAGGGUCAUCUCAACUUAAACCCGUCAUUUUAGUAACUUGGCGUGGUCAUAUUAUAUGAUUAAUAUUCAACAAGUAAAACCUUUUUGUAUAGAUGUGAAGCAUUGUACAUAGAGCCAGCAAGAUUGCUUGGCAUUUCAGUAUACAUGUGGCCUCAUAACUAAAGAGAUAAGCGCAGUGGUACUGUCCACCACCUAGAGUGCGAUACAACUACAUUGGAGAUGCUGACCUGAUCGUGGGAGCCACAUCAACUGUUGGCAGAUAGAUCCACAGUGAAUUGGAUAUGGACAUUUUUGAAAAAGAUAAUAGAAGGUAAAGGGACUAAAGAAUGUGGCUGGGAUACCUUUUCAAGAGCAACUUUCUCAUUUUUCCUUCCAGGGGAUUCCAGGAAUUCUUGAGAACUCAGAGUGAGGCAAAUGAAUCACCUCUACUUCUGCUUGGGUUCUAACGGGGAGAAGGGGAUUAUACAUAUCUAUGUAAAUGAAACCGGUAUAGUGUUUUCCUUUUUCAAAGUGAUCAAUAGUUUUAACCUUUAUUUAUUUAUUUGAUUAUAUACAUGAAGUAAAACUAUUGGUUUGUGAACACGACUUAAACUAUUGAGCCACGAUGAUAUUUUCUGGUGCUC
rnacentral:lncRNA from 1 species